AGCAUACAAGGCAUACGGCUCAGUAACGCGUAGUCAACCUAACCUAUGGACGGGAAUAACCUCGGGAAACUGAGAAUAAUGCCCGAUAGAACAUUAUGCCUGGAAUGGUUUAUGCUCCAAAUGAUUUAUCGCCGUAGGAUGGGACUGCGGCCUAUCAGUUUGUUGGUGAGGUAAUGGCCCACCAAGACUAUUACAGGUACGGGCUCUGAGAGGAGUAGCCCGGAGAUGGGUACUGAGACACGGACCCAGGCCCUAUGGGGCGCAGCAGGCGAGAAAACUUUGCAAUGUGCGAAAGCACGACAAGGUUAAUCCGAGUGGUUUCUGCUAAAGAAACCUUUUGUCAGUCCUAGAAACACUGAUGAAUAAGGGGUGGGCAAGUUCUGGUGUCAGCCGCCGCGGUAAAACCAGCACCUCAAGUGGUCAGGAUGAUUAUUGGGCCUAAAGCAUCCGUAGCCGGCUCUGUAAGUUUUCGGUUAAAUCUGUACGCUCAACGUACAGGCUGCCGGGAAUACUGCAGAGCUAGGGAGUGGGAGAGGUAGACGGUACUCGGUAGGAAGGGGUAAAAUCCUUUGAUCUAUUGAUGACCACCUGUGGCGAAGGCGGUCUACCAGAACACGUCCGACGGUGAGGGAUGAAAGCUGGGGGAGCAAACCGGAUUAGAUACCCGGGUAGUCCCAGCUGUAAACUAUGCAAACUCAGUGAUGCAUUGGCUUGUGGCCAAUGCAGUGCUGCAGGGAAGCCGUUAAGUUUGCCGCCUGGGAAGUACGUACGCAAGUAUGAAACUUAAAGGAAUUGGCGGGGGAGCACCACAAGGGGUGAAGCCUGCGGUUCAAUUGGAGUCAACGCCGGA
rnacentral:rRNA from 1 species